rnacentral:rRNA from 1 species
UACAGAGGUCCCAAGCGUUGUUCGGAUUCAUUGGGCGUAAAGGGUGCGUAGGCGGCGCGGUAAGUCGGGUGUGAAAUCUCGGAGCUUAACUCCGAAACUGCAUUCGAUACUGCCGUGCUUGAGGACUGGAGAGGAGACGUGGAAUUUACGGUGUAGCGGUGAAAUGCGGUAGAUAUCAGGAGGAACACCGAUGGCGAAGGCAGGUCUCUGGGGCCCAUAAACUGACGCUGGAGAAGCGAAAGCAUGGGAG